rnacentral:rRNA from 1 species
GACAGAGGGUGCAAACGUUGUUCGGAAUUACUGGGCGUAAAGCGCAUGUAGGUGGUCGGACAGGUCGGAUGUGAAAGCCCUCAGCUCAACUGAGGAAGUGCAUUCGAAACCGCCCGACUCGAGUCCCGGAGAGGAAGGUAGAAUUCUCGGUGUAGAGGUGAAAUUCGUAGAUAUCGAGAGGAACACCGGUGGCGAAGGCGGCCUUCUGGACGAGGACUGACACUGAGAUGCGAAAGCAUGGGGAGCAAACAGG